rnacentral:rRNA from 1 species
GUGAGGAAUAUUGGUCAAUGGGCGGGAGCCUGAACCAGCCAAGUCGCGUGAAGGAAGAAGGAUCUAUGGUUCGUAAACUUCUUUUGCAGGGGAAUAAAGUGCGGGACGUGUCCUGUUUUGUAUGUACCCUGAGAAUAAGGAUCGGCUAACUCCGUGCCAGCAGCCGCGGUAAUACGGAUGAUCCGAGCGUUAUCCGGAUUUAUUGGGUUUAAAGGGUGAGUAGGUGGUUUGAUAAGUCAGCGGUGAAAGUUUGCAGCUUAACUGUAAAAAUGCCGUUGAAACUGUCGGACUUGAGUGUAAAUGAGGUAGGCGGAAUGCGUGGUGUAGCGGUGAAAUGCAUAGAUAUCACGCAGAACUCCGAUUGCGAAGGCAGCUUACUAAGCUACAACUGACACUGAAGCACGAAAGCGUGGGGAUCAAACAGGAUUAGAAACCCCAGUAGUCC